rnacentral:lncRNA from 1 species
CCAAAACCAAUGUCACCUAGUCACCGUCGACGAAACCACAACUGCCACAUGCCUAUUCAUUCCACUUCUCACCCACCUCGUGAAACACAUUUUUAUUCCUCAAUUCCAACUCCAACCCACAAACUGAAAUUAAACCCAUGUCCUUUGCCUUGAUUCUUUGAUUGGAGCAGUAACUAUUAUAUCAAUUGAAGAUAAACCCAUUACGGUAUGAUGUUGUUGAACGUUUUUAUGUGGCCAAAUUUGUGAAUUAACAUCACCAAACCCGUGAAUUGAAGGAUUUGUCGAAAUUGUCAAAAAAAAAAAAAAAAAAGAGCAGUUCUUGAUGCUUUGGAGGCUAAUUUUGAUUUAUAAUGUUGUUGUUUGCCCAAUAGUAUGUGAGGUAUGUGUUUGUGUUCAUGGCCUGUAGCUGAGGCGAGGAAUGAUUUUAUUGCUUGGGUUUGAUUUUUGGUUGGGGGACAAGGGUGGCAGUUUUUGGGGAUGACAGUGAUGUUGCUUUUGAUGGUAGCGAUUGUGGUAGUUUGUUUGCAAUGGUGGCAAGGCGAGGGUGGAGUAGCGGUGUGGGAGCUUUGCAGUGACGCCAACGGUUGCAGACAUGAAAGGGUGGGAUUGGAUUUAGGUAGAAGAAGGUUAAAGCUUUUCCAUUUCUUUUUUCUGUUAUUUAAUUAUUUUAAUUCUUUAAUGUGAUAAAAUAUGAAAGUGCC